GACUCUGCUUCGACUUCUAGACUUUUCCACCUUUCCUUUUCACUUCUGUCUCUUUCACAAUUCUCGGCUUAUGUCGGUCUGAAUCCUAGAUUUCUUUCACUCCCAAACGUUGAGGUUCGUGACUUCGCCGUUGAUUUGAACCCCACCAGCUUCGAUUCCUUGGAGACACCCCUGCCACCUUUGCCGUAGUCGAAUUCUUCGCUCACUGAUAUUAGAUCGAUUGGAGGCUACCCAUUUGAAAAAGAAGAGAGAUCACAUGGAUGAUGGAUCAUAUGAGGUUCUCCAAUUAUUUGAGAUCACAUGGAAAUAUUUAAUUCCGUAUUUGUAAUUCUUUAUUGUUUCAUUCAGUUCGUUAAAUUCAUUUAAUUGUCUUUGUAAUUCUCAGAAAACUAGAGAGGCCAGCCGGCCCUAACUUCCUUCUCUUUUGGUUAAUCCUGUGAAUUGGAGAUCGGAUCUCGCUGUUCUCUCUCUCUCAUUUGGGUUUUAUGCAUUGCCAUGGUGGUGGGAAGAUUAUGGAGAAGCUUUGAAAAACAGAGAGAGGAAAUGAGCUUUAAACAGAUUAUUGUCAAAGCAGUAUAUAUAAGUUACAAAGUGCUCUUGCUGAAAUAGAAAAGAAAAAAAAAAAAAAAA